rnacentral:rRNA from 1 species
GAUGAACGCUAGCGGGAGGCUUAAUACAUGCAAGUCGAGCGGCAAGGUCUUCGGACCCUAGAGCGGCGCACGGGUGAGUAACGCGUACGCAAUCUGCCCUUCAGUGAGGAAUAGCCCUGGGAAACUGGGAUUAAUACCUCAUAACAUUAUCUGUUCGCAUGGAUAGAUAAUUAAAGUUCUGGCGCUGAAGGAUGGGCGUGCGUCUGAUUAGCUAGUUGGUAGGGUAACGGCCUACCAAGGCGACGAUCAGUAGGGGGCGUGAGAGCGUGACCCCCCACACGGGUACUGAGACACGGACCCGACUCCUACGGGAGGCAGCAGUAAGGAAUAUUGGGCAAUGGAGGCAACUCUGACCCAGCCAUCCCGCGUGAAGGAUUAAGGCCCU